rnacentral:tRNA from 1 species
GCCUGGGUGGCUCAGUUGGUUAAGCGUCUGACUUCAGCUCAGGUCAUGAUCUCGCGGUCCGUGAGUUCGAGCCCCGCGUCGGGCU